rnacentral:rRNA from 1 species
UACGAAGGGGGCUAGCGUUGCUCGGAAUCACUGGGCGUAAAGCGCACGUAGGCGGGUCUUUAAGUCAGGGGUGAAAUCCUGGAGCUCAACUCCAGAACUGCCUUUGAUACUGAGGAUCUUGAGUUCGGGAGAGGUGAGUGGAACUGCGAGUGUAGAGGUGAAAUUCGUAGAUAUUCGCAAGAACACCAGUGGCGAAGGCGGCUCACUGGCCCGAUACUGACGCUGAGGAGCGAAAGCGUGGGGAGCAAACAGG